rnacentral:rRNA from 1 species
AACGAACGCUGGCGGCGUGGAUAAGACAUGCAAGUCGAACGCUCGUCGACGGGUAGCAAUAUCCGGCGGCGGGAGUGGCGCAAGGGUGCGUAACACGUGGGUCAUUUGCCGUGAAGCUGGGAACAACUCGUUGAAAGACGAGCUAAUACCCAAUGUGCUCCGCGAGGAGUAAAGCCGGGGACCGCAAGGCCUGGCACUUCACGAGAAGCCCGCGGCCUAUCAGCUAGUUGGCGGGGUAAAAGCCCACCAAGGCUAAGACGGGUAGCUGGUCUGAGAGGACGACCAGCCACACUGGAACUGAGACACGGUCCAGACACCUACGGGUGGCAGCAGUCGAGAAUUUUUCACAAUGGGCGAAAGCCUGAUGGAGCGACGCCGCGUGGGGGAUGAAGGGCUUCGGCUCGUAAACCCCUGUCAUUUGCGAACAAGGACGCCGACCUAACACGUCGUCGUUUGAUAGUAGCAGAAGAGGAAGGGACGGCUAACUCUGUGCCAGCAGCCGCCGUAAUAC